CAGUCGAGCGGCAGCGGGGAAGUAGCUUGCUACUUUUGCCGGCGAGCGGCGGACGGGUGAGUAAUGCCUGGGGAUCUGCCCAGUCGAGGGGGAUAACUACUGGAAACGGUAGCUAAUACCGCAUACGCCCUACGGGGGAAAGCAGGGGACCUUCGGGCCUUGCGCGAUUGGAUGAACCCAGGUGGGAUUAGCUAGUUGGUGAGGUAAUGGCUCACCAAGGCGACGAUCCCUAGCUGGUCUGAGAGGAUGAUCAGCCACACUGGAACUGAGACACGGUCCAGACUCCUACGGGAGGCAGCAGUGGGGAAUAUUGCACAAUGGGGGAAACCCUGAUGCAGCCAUGCCGCGUGUGUGAAGAAGGCCUUCGGGUUGUAAAGCACUUUCAGCGAGGAGGAAAGGUUGGUAGCUAAUAACUGCCAGCUGUGACGUUACUCGCAGAAGAAGCACCGGCUAACUCCGUGCCAGCAGCCGCGGUAAUACGGAGG
rnacentral:rRNA from 1 species